rnacentral:rRNA from 1 species
UACGAAGGGGGCUAGCGUUGUUCGGAAUUACUGGGCGUAAAGCGCGCGUAGGUGGCCACAUAAGUCCGUUGUGAAAGUCAAAGGCUCAACCUUUGAAAGCCGAUGGAUACUGUGUGGCUAGAGUACGGAAGAGGCGAGUGGAAUUCCUGGUGUAGCGGUGGAAUGCGCAGAUAUCAGGAGGAACACCAAUAGCGAAGGCAGCUCGCUGGGACGUUACUGACACUGAGGCGCGAAAGCGUGGGGAGCGAACAGG